GUAUUUUUCUCUGUUAUUUUACUACAUGGUUGUGUGUGCUAUUUUACUACGUGUGUGUGGGCAUGUGUGUAUCUAUUUAUAUCUUGUCCCACUUGUCUACUAAGAUCUUAGCGUUGGGACGCCUGGGUGGCUCAGUCAGUGAAGCAUCAGAUGCUUGGUUUCAGCUCAGGUCAUGAUCUCAUGGUUGGGGAGUUGGAGCCCCGCAAAGGGGCUGACAGCAUGGAGCCUGCUUGAGAGUCUCUCUCUCCCUCUCUCUCGGACCCUCCCCCACUCGCUCUCUCUGUCUCUCUCUCAAAAUAAAGAAACUUAAAAAAAAAAUCUUAACAUUUUUCUCAUUGCUUGUAUUCACCCUUUAAGAAAUAGGUUUGCAAAGCAGAGUAUUUCGCUUUAAGUAACUCUGGUCUCCAUAAAUAUCUUCAUCCAUUUGGGGAAGAACUGAAACCGGACAGGUUUAUAGAACAUUUAGAAAUUUUGUUGGCCCCUGACAAGCACCAGCAUCAGACCAAAGCUUAUGCAAAUUUUUGAAAAGCUUUUUUUUUCCCAUUUCGUUGAUCUCCAAUAUCCUCCCAGUUGAUUUCACUCCACCCAUUCCCCCCCCUCAGCCCCCGUAUCACCAUAACAAUUUAGGUACUAUGACAAGCACUGGGACAUUUUCAGAAGAGGGAAAAGCAGUCUGCGUGGUGGUUCUUAGGAGAGACUUGCCUGACCCAGUGUCCCCUGGUCCUUACACACAUCUGACUGCGCACGGCCACAGACAAGAGGUUGUAUCAUGCCACAAUUUGUGUGAUCUCUGCGAUUCUCAUAACGGCAUCACUAUGUGGUGCUAAGACAUAGAAUAAGGAUGUUAGAUUCAGGUGACCUGACUGCCAUGUCCCCAAACCUACGGCCCAUCCCCAAGCAAUCUGUGUCUUUUUUUUUUUUUGAACGUUUAUUUAUUACUGAGAGACAAAGAGAGACAGAGCAUGAGCAGGGAAGAGGCAGUGAGAGAGAGGGAGACACAGAAUCCGAAGCAGGCUCCAGGCUCUGAGCUGUCAGCACAGACCCCGACGCGGUGCCCGAACUCACAGACCGAGAGAUCAUGACCUGAGCCGAAGUCGGACUCCUAACCGCCUGAGCCACCCAGGCGCCCCAAUCUGUGUCUUUUAAGACAGAAGUUCUCAUGCUUUGGGAGUGUCAGAAUUACGUAGAGAGCUAAGAACAAACACAGAGUCCCAAACCUAUGGAAAUAGGAUGAAGCGUAGACCUCUAUAAGUCUGCCAAGUUCUCCAGGUGAUUCUGUUUCAUACCAAAGUUUGAGAACCAUUGUUUGCAAGCUGUCAAAUAAAAGGAAACUAUCCUUAAAAGUAUAAGAUUAAAAACUUGUAUCAGCUGGAGGUUUAGCUUGGAUUAAGUGGUGAGAGGAACCACUGGGCGCAAUGGCAAAUAAAAUAACCUGUAUGGGCAGGCACACCGUGAAUUUAGGAUCCUGAAACGGUUCUCUUUCUAGGCCUAGAUCAUGGUUCAGCAAUCAGCUUUAAAAAAAAAAAAACACCUGAGUAUACUAAAGUAAAUGCCCAUGUAACCCAUACUGUGACCGUAUGACUGGUGGAUGGAGACAACACCCAUCUUUUCUAUGGUUUCCCUCUGCAUUCAGUGGGGAUAACCCUUGCCCAUCCCCCAUGGGAGUAUGGCAGGUCCCAUGACUUUUCUCUUUCUCCAAGGUACAAGUCCUUAAGCGCAAGCAUAGUUUCAAGUCUGAGACCGGAAAGCUCCACCUUAACUAUGAUGACGAAUCUUCCCCCAGCCGGAGUGGGCUUGGGGCCAGCAGCCUGCAGUGGUGAAGAGGGGGAAGAAUGCAUGGUCGGCUUCUUGUCUUCUCUUGGUGCCACUGCUCAUUUCUUCUCCUCCUCCAGCUGGCCAGCCAGUUUCUGACCUCUUCGGGUUGAAUGAAUACUCAGAUGUAAGAAAGCUCCAGUAAUUCCCCUACUGGCUAUGUACCCAAUGAAAACAAAAACACGAAUUCAAUAAGAUACAUGCACCUCUAUGUUUAUUGAAGCAUUAUUUAUAAUAACCAAGAUAUGGCAGCAACCCAAGUGUCCAUCGAUAGACGAACAAAGAAGAUGGGAUAUGUGCUAUCUACAAGAUAUACAUCCGGUGGAAUGUUAUUCAACUGGAAACAAGAAUGAGAUCUUGUCGUUUGUGACAACAUGGAUGGACCUGGAGGGCAUUAUGCUAAGUGAAAUAAAUCAGACAGAGAAAGGCAAAUAUAAUAUGAUUUCACUUAUACGUAAAAUCUAAAAAAUAACACGAAGAAACAAACGAACAAAGCGACUCUUAAAUACAGCAAACAAACUGGGGGUUGCCAGAGGUAAGAGACGGUGGUGGGGAGCCUGGCAAAAAAAGUAGAUGAAGAGGCUAAAGAGGCACAAACUUCCAGUUAUAAAACCACCAAUUACAGAGAUGAAAAGUACAGCACAGGGGAAAGAGACAAUAAUCUUGCAGCCAUGUUGCCUGGUGACUACACCGGGGCAGGGAGCAUUGGGUAAUGUAUGGAACUGCCAAUUCAAUACGUUGCAGCCCUGAAACUCAGAUAACAUUGCCUGUCAACUAUACCUAAACAUUUUUGGGAAAAAUGCUCUUAGAGAACUGCAGAACGGGUACUGUUAGAAGCUGGCUUUGCAUUUUCUGUGCCUGACAGUUAUCCCAAAGCUGCCUCUUUACGUGGGGUUUCUUAGGUCUUCUGGAAGAUUUCCUGGAGAUUUCCCUCCUAUAGGUCAUUUCACUUGUUUCAUGCACCUGUGUUCCCACUGUUCUCUUGUGACUCGUUUGUGACCGCUUCCACUUUCCGGCCGUUAGUGUCCUCUGCUCUCCAAGCGACCCCAUGACCAGGACGCUGAAUGACCUUUAGCUGGAUCUCUCCCCUGUGACCUACCAUCUGAUCCAUUGAACGUGCUCAUAAGUAAUCCUGGCUGAUCCCAACACAACCUUCACCUUGGUGGCCCGGGCCGCUUUCACCAUCCUUGGUCAGGAGUCAGGCUGCAUCCUUGAGUCUCCCUGAUGCAGGAAAAUUGUCAUUUCAGACUCUCUGAGAGGUGUUGUAGAAGCCUGGGAAGGAAGUGGCAGUCCUUUCUCAUUUCCAUUCCACACCUGUAACCAGAAAUGGAAGCUCUCCUCGGGAAAAUCCUCUCCAGAAUAAUCUCUUCAAAACUCCUGUAGGAUCGAAGAGCCCUGGAAAUGGCUCUCGGGGUUUCCUGGGUAAAUUCUGCAUAUGGUGAUCUGGUUUUGGAAUAUCGUAUUUGUUGCAUGUGAUCGUCCCGGCGAAACUUACGUUUUAACAUUAUUUUCCUAUAGUUUUAGAUAUCCUGCCAUAAGCCGCAUUUAGGGAGGCCAUAGUUCAGGACGAUCUUUUUCCUAGAUCAGGUGCUCUUGGAGACAGGAAGAGAUGGUUGGAAAAUGGUACAGUUGAUGCUUUACUUUAGUAGACAUUGUUUUCAAUGUAGAAUAUACAUGGAGAGGAGUACACGAUGAUGAGGGCCCAGCUCCAUGAACUUAACAAAGUAAACACGCCCACGUAACAAGCACUCAGAUCCAGAUAGAGAACAUUACCAGCUUCCAGAAGCCCCCUUUCCCAUCUGAAUUCUCCCAGAGUAAUUAAUAUCCUAAAUAUAGGUCCAAUUUUUUUCCUGCUUUUGAAGUUUAUAGAAGUAGAAUCUUUUUUGUCUAGGCAACAUUAUGUUUGGGAAAUUCACUCCUAUUUCUACCUUUAUUUUUUUUAAUUUUUUAAUCUUUAUUUAUUUUUGAGAGAGAGACAGAGUGUGAGCAGGGGAGGAGCAGACAGAGAGGGAGACACAGAAUCCGAACGAGGCAGGCUCCAGGCCCGGAGCUGUCAGCACAGAGCCCAACACGAGGCUGGAACUCACGAACCGUGAGAUCACGACCUGAGCCAAAGUCGGACGCUCAACCGACUGAGCCACCCAGGUGCCCCUCCUAUUUCUACCUUUAGUUGGAGAUCAUCCAUCUCCUUACUGUGUGGCCGUGGUAUGAAUAUACCUGGACGGUUAAUAUUUGAUCAGUAAAUCUCUUCGUUAAGGGUAGCUCAACAUUGACCACAUCCUCCCCAGACCUUCUCCAAUUCCAGCCUGCAUCCACAGAAGGACUCGAGUCACCCCAAUGACUUGCCUUGGGUGUCAGGAUAAAGCAGUUAAACUCCUGCAAUCUUUUCAAAACCAUUUACAAGGUUAGGAUCUUUCAAGGAGAAGUUUAUUAUUUAUUCCUAUUCUUGACAUUCUCUCCCAUCCAUCUGCCCUUUUCACUUGGGUGAUUUAGGACCAUAGAAUGUUUGAACUGGAUACAAACACAUCUCCUGGGAAACAUUUCGCAGAAAUUCUGAUAGCAGCUGUAUGAGUUUCUGUUUCCUCCGAAAUUAAGAAUGCUGGAGAUUGGCAUGUCGUCUGGGGUAUCUGACCAAAUGGAGAGGGAAGACACAGUGUUACUGCCAUCAAGAGCACCAUAAUCAAAUGGUCCAGGCAGAGCACCUGAAACUGAAGCCGGCAGUCAAGGAGGCUCACCCAUGGGACCACAACUUCCCAGAAAGUUUUUCAGAACCUCACUGGUAACUUUGAACAGAUAACCGAAAAUUAUCAGACAUGUAAGGAAAACCACCAACACCAACAGUUUGCAUUUGUGGAUGCAAAAUGAACAAAUCUUUUGGAAUCUCUAAAAAGACACAAAGAGUUUCAUUCGAGCUCAAGUUGGGGGGACUGCCCGGGAAACUUGCUCUUCACAGGGAAGAAAGUGCUCAGGAGAGUGAAAAGUUUUACAGGGUUGUAUGCUUUUUCACAUUUUGUGAAAGGUCAGAAGGUUGUAAGUUAACAUAUAGGCAGGAAUCGCAAGAUUUAAUGUCAAGGGGGUAGGGGCACUGAUGGAUGUCUUAAGGACAAGACGGUUUUCCUGUAUGUACUUGUUUGCAAGGCAGACCUACGAUGUCUGCUUGGCGGGCCAUAAGGCACGCUUUUGGUUUAAACAAAGUUUAUGUACGUCACACUGACUUAGAAAGAAAUCUAGAAGGCCUUCCUUUAUAAAUCAGGCCUUUAUGAGAGCUUUAGUGAGGGUUUUAUUUUUUCUCAUCAGGGUGGAAACAGGGGUGCCUGCGUGGCUUGGUCAGUUAAGCAUCUGACUUCGGCUCAUGAUAUGAGUUCGAGCCCCACUUGGGGUGAACAUGAGCCCCGGGUGAGCCCCGCUUCUCGCUUUCCCUCUCCCCCUAUCUCCCUCUCUCUCUUUCUGCCCUUCACUCACAUGUACCCUCUCUCUCAAAAAAAAAAAAAAAAAAGGGGGGAGGCCAAAACAAACAAACAAACAAAAGCAACUUGGAAGAAAGCAAGACUCUAAUGGGAUCAGAAAAGUAUUAGUAAUAUGCACAGAAGGAGAAGGGUGAUUUUGUACCCAGGAAACAAGAACAUUAUGUAAUUUUUAAAAGAACUAUUCAUAGAAUUAAAGGGGGCUUUGGGAAAUUGAAAAUAUGUAUGACGGCAGAAUUAAAAAAAAUUCAUAGAGGAGUUCCUGAGUGGCUCAGUCGUUAAGCAUCUCUUAGUUUUGGCUCAGGUCAUGAUCUCGAAGUUCACGCAUGGGUUCGAGCCUUGCAUCAGGCUCUGCAUUGACAGUGCAGAGCCUGCUUGGAACUCUCUCUCUCUCUCUCUCUCUCUCUCUCUCUCUCUGUCCCUCCCCUGCUCAAGUUCUCUCUUUCUCAAAAUACAUGAAUAAACUUUAAAAAAAUUUCAGAGAAAGUUUGCAUGAUAAAGUUGAGCAAACCUCCCAGAAAGUAGAGCAAAAAGAAAGAAAUGGAAAAAAGAGUUGGAAAAAAGAAGAGAAAAGAAAAGAAAAGAAAAGAAAAGAAAAGAAAAGAAAAGAAAAGAAAAGAAAAUUAGAGGACCAGAAUAAGAAGUUCAGUAGCUGCAUGAGAGAAGUUCCAUAAUGAGAGACAGAGAAAACCAAAGGAAGGAAACUGUCAACAAAAUAAUUCCAGAGAGAGAACAUGAGUUUGCAGAUUGUAAGAGCUACUGAGUGUCCGGAUAAUAGAUGAAAUUAGACCUACUCCAAGGUACAUCAUUGUGCAAUUUCCAAACACUGUGCAUUCGUUUGCUGGGGCUUCAGGCAACAUACCACAGAGUGGGUGGCUUAAAUGACAGAAGUUCGUCAUCUCACAGUUUUAGAGGCUGGAAGUCCAAGAUCAAGGUGUUAUGGACCCCAGGAUAGAUUGUUUAAGAAGGUGAAAUUAAAAGAAUGCCUUAUCUAUCUGAACAUAUGAAAAGGACAUUUAGACACGUGUAUGAGACUUUGAGGUGAAUUAGUGAUAAGAAGGCAAGAGGGAGGAAACAAAACUACAAAAACAGAAACAAGAAAAGUAUUAACUUCAGGGAAAAUGAAAAGUCGAGUAGGAAAAAAAAAAUACAGGACAUCAUGAGGUUCCACUGUGAAUACCAUUCACACAUUUCUCAUCAUGUUAAAAUAAAUAUUAAUCUAACCAAGACAAAUAUGACGAAGUGUGGGGAGAUAAGAAACAGUGGUGCAUAUUUGGUGUGCUCUGUGUAGGUGAGGUCAGAAAAAGAGUUCAUUUUUCCCGUGUACAAAUCUGUGAUUAUGUCCAAAAAAGUCAUUAAUCUGCCCCCUUAAGCUUAGUGAGAGUUGGUUGUGGCUCAGUUAGAAACCAAAAACAACACCAACAAGCGUGACUCAGGUUUAAACCUAAGUUAGCAUAGGGGCGCCUGGGUGGCUCAGUCGGUUAAGUGGCCGACUUCGGCUCGGGUCAUGAUCUCGUGGUCCGUGAGUUCGAGCCCCGCGUCGGGCUCUGCGCUGACAGCUCAGAGCCUGGAGCCUGUUUCAGAUUCUGUGUUUCCCUCUCUCUGACCCUCCCCUGUUCAUGCUCUAUCUCUCCCUGUCUCAAAACAAAACAAAAAAAAAAAAAUUUAAACCUAAGAUAGCAAACGCAAAUGCCCAAUGGGGUUAGGCAAAGAGCUUCACCAAGUGAUUUAGACUUGGUAAGAUUGGAUAGGGAAUUAAUGGGGACACAGCAAACCGAAGGACACGGGUUCUGUUCUUCACGUGGACUACCCUUAUUUAGCUCCAGUUAUAAAAACAUGUAUGUAUCACAGGGGCAUCUGGGUGGCUCCGUCCGUUAAGCGUGUGACUUUGGCUCAGGUCACGAUCUCAUGGUUUGUGAGUUCGACCCUUGCAUCAGUCUCUGUGCUGACAGCUCAGAGCUCGGAGCCUGCUUCAGAUUCUGGGUCUCCCUCUCUCUCUGAGCCUCCCUCACUCAUGCUCUUUCUCUCUCUCUCUCAAUAAUAAAUCAAGAGAGAGAGAGAGAGAGAGAGAGAGAGAGAGAAACCAGAUAGGUAAGUUCUCAGAAAUGUAAAUGUCCUGAUUUUAAAAACACCACUUUAUGAAAAAACUUAGCUGUGGGCUAUAUUUGGCCUAUAUACUGCCAGUGAAACCGACGAAGCUUUUUUAUCCUCUCCUGGAGGGUGUGGGAGAGACCUAAUAUCCCUGAAAUUAUAUUGCAUUAGAUUAGUAAAAUUGGUUCUGGAUGAAAAUAAUUUUAAACAGCAAACCAAGGAGCAAAAACCUAUAAAACUAACAAGCCAGAACAAAACAAAACAAAGAAACAAAGCCUCUGGACCUUAACAUUUUUCCAAGGCACAUUGAUGUGAUAAAAUCAGAAUUGCCAAGUGUUUAUAAGAUAUCAAAGAUUAUGCCUUUGACUUCACAUAUUCAGAGAGAUAAUUUAAUUGGGAUGACUUUUACAAACUUACCGGAGAUCUAAACAACAGGAUCAUUUAGGUCCUGCUGAUAUGUAGAAUAUCCAAAGUCCAUUUUUAGUCUGAUGUCAGUAAAUGACUCAUUAUUUCUCUUGACUUCCAGGCUGAUCAGCAUGCUGUGUCAAAUACCAAACAAUGUGUUAGACUUAAGUGUCUAUGUCUGUUAAUGUGCAGAUGAACAAGGGUAAAAAUCAAGCAAAUAAAUGAGAAAAAAUUACUGUAUUGUACAAAUGAGGACAGAAAGUAGAUUAAUGGUUGCCUGGGGCCCAAGGUAGAGAGAAGGCAAUUUGGGGGAUGAUAGGAGUGUUCUAAAACCAGAUUGUCGUGAUUGCUGCACAACUGUAUAAAUGAAUUAAAAUUCUCGAAUUAUGCACUUAACAUGGGUGAAUUUUAUGCUAGGGAAAUUCUAUCUUAAUAAAGCUGUAAUUUUAAAAAAUAAUAAAGGAUGAUAAAAUCAGUGGGCUAAAAUAUGAUGAAAAAGAAGAUAUUUACAUAAUCUCAAAGUGUCUCCCCCCCUAGAUACUUAUUAACUACAAUGUGGAAAAUAGUAACUUUAUGGUGGAGAAACCUGGCAGACAACAUUUAAACCAAGUGAUCAAAGUUAACAUCACCAGUAAAGGGAUGUAUGGAUAUCACGUAACUCCCGAAGGGAGGCACAGGGGGGUAACAUCAACUUGUGAUAGUCUAGCCAAAAAUGCACACCUGAAUUUAAUCCUGAGUAAGCGUAAGACAAACCAGAGUUGAGGGAAAUCUACAAAAUAACUGACCAAGUACUCUUUGAAUGUGUCAAAGUCACGAAAGAGAACAAUGCCCGUGAACAUUAAAGAGAUGUAGGGGCGCCUGGCUGGCUCAGUCAGUGAGGCAUGGCGACCCUUAGUCUUGGGGUUGUGACUUGGAGCCCCAUGCUGGGUGUAGAGAUGACUUAAAAACGUAAAAUCUUAAAAAAAAUUAAAAAUUAAAAAUAAAGAGAUGAGAUAACCAAGUGUAAUGUGAGAUCCUGUAUUGGAUUCUGGUCCAGAAACUGGAUGCCAGUGGGGCAACCAGCAAAACUUGCUUAAUGUCUGUCUGCACAUUGGCUAAUAGCAUCGGGUUGGGGUUAAUCUUCUGCUUUUGAUAAUUGCACCUAAAAAAAAAAUUUUUUUUUUAAAGACAGAUUAUAGGUCACAACGAUAUUUCAUGCAAAACUUGGCAAGACAGAACCUUAUGGAUUCCAGAGUUUCUAGAAUUCAAAGCACUACUUUAGUUAUUCUAUUGCUGAGUAAAGAUAAUAAAGUGAACGUUGACAUUCUGGGGGCCACAGAAGCACAAUGCACAAAGAGCACUGGCCAGGGAGGGCAUAGGUGUGUGCGUGCUCUGUUUCUUUUAUAAUUUAUUAAUUUUUCUCGUCAAUGUUUACUGAAAAAGAGCAAAUAGCUCUCCAGGCAAGUCGAUUGUUAACUUCAAAGUUAUUUAAUCUCCCAGAAUAUAACCUUUAAUUUUAAAGCAUGUCACGACCUUACAAACAUGUUGGUUAAAGGAAAUCUUAGUUGUUCAUUAAAUCUAUGGAAUAUAUAUAUUACAGGGUAUUAAAUGUUUUCAAGCAAACUGUACAUGAAUUUACCACUCUUGUGAUGAAAAAAAUCCACGAUCUUUUAGUGUAGUUUCUCUUAUUAACCAGAAUGCUCCAUUCACUCUUUUUGUCCAACUUUUUCCUGGAGGCUAUUCAAAAUAAAGGUGCUUCAGGGCACCUGCGUGGCUCAGACGGUUAAGCAUCCAACUUUGGCUCAGGCCAUGAUCUUGUGUUUCGUGAGUUCGAGCCCCACAUUGGGUUCUGUGCUGACAACUCAGAGCCUGGAGCCUGCUUUGGAUUCUGUCUCCUCUCUCUGCCCUUCCCCUGCUUGUGCUCUGUCACUCUCUCUCUCUCUCUCUCAAAAGUAAAUAAACAUUAAAAAUAAAUAAAUAAAUAAAUAAAUAAAGGUGCUUCUAGCAAUUUCAUAUGUAAGCACAAUGCAAAGCCUUACCCUGCCAUCAUAUUCCGACAUAUGAAUGAGCCAAAUUUAUUUAGCUACUCCCCUACACAUGGAAAGUUAGGAUGUUUCCAACAUUUUACCUUUAGAACAAUAACGCUGGGAAUGUCAUAAAUGUCUGCAUGUGUAUAUACACAGAAUAAAUUCCUCUUAGUAGAAUUUCUAGGUCAAAAGGUAUAUGCAAUUAAUAUUUUGAUAGAUAUUUUACAAUUUCUCUUUCCCAAAAAGGCUGUUGAUACAUAUCUAAUUUAUUUUAAAAAGUUUAAUUUUCAUAUAAAAAAAAUCAUAGAUGCCUUUUGUAGCCAGGAAUAUGAUACUAAGGUGUAUUUAAAAAAAUAAAAGGUGGGGCGCCUGGGGGGCCCAGUCGGCUAAGCGUCCGACUUCAGCUCAGGUCAUGAUCUCGCGGUCCGUGAAUUUGAGCCCCACGUCGGGCUCUGUGCUGACCGCUCAGAGCCUGGAGCCUGUUUCGGAUUCUGUGUCUCCCUCUCUCUCUGACCCUCCCCCGUUAAUGCUCUGUCUCUCUCUGUCUCAAAAAUAAAUAAACGUUAAAAAAAUUU